GAUGAACGCUAGCGGCAGGCUUAACACAUGCAAGUCGAGGGGUAGAGGUUGCUUGCAACCUUGAGACCGGCGCACGGGUGCGUAACGCGUAUGCAACCUACCUUUUACAGAGGGAUAGCCCAGAGAAAUUUGGAUUAAUACCUCAUAGUAUUACGGAGUGGCAUCACUUUGUAAUUAAAGAUUUAUCACUUGAAGAUGGCUGUGCGGCUGAUUAGAUAGUUGGCAGGGUAACGGCCUACCAAGUCUACGAUCAGUAACUGGUGUGAGAGCACGACCAGUCACACGGGCAAUGAGACACGGGCCCGACUCCUACGGGAGGCAGCAGUAAGGAAUAUUGGUCAAUGGACGAAAGUCUGAACCAGCUAUGCCGCGUGGAGGAUGAAGGCCCUCUGGGUUGUAAACUUCUUUUAUAUGGGACGAAAAAGGGCCUUUCUAGGUCAACUGACGGUACCAUGUGAAUAAGCACCGGCUAACUCCGUGCCAGCCGCCGCCGUAACAC
rnacentral:rRNA from 1 species